UUUCCUUUCCCCUACCCCUCCCACUUCCUAGGCAGAGCAAGGAGGCUGAAUCCCAGAAUCACCUCUGUUCUUUGGUUGCUGCUGCUGGAGUGCAGUCCCCCAGCACCAUAAGGCUAGCCAGAUGGGCUCUUUGGCUGCAAGCCCAGAGAUCCCAUAAGAAACCAGAGGCUUUGAGGAAGCCUAAGGGUUCUGGAAAGCUGUCUGCAGGAGGUGAUUCUGGUUCUGAGCCUUGAAGAAAGCCUGCUGUGGAAGAGUAUGCCAGACAGAGACAUAGGAGAGCUAUUUGAUUGCAGACAAGUGACCAAUGGGAAACUGGCAGGUACCUUUUAGGCCCUGUCCUGCUUCUCCAACUCCAAAUCCACUACCCUUUCUG
rnacentral:lncRNA from 1 species